UGCGUAGGUGGCAAGCGUUGUCCGGAUUUAUUGGGUUUAAAGGGUGCGUAGGCGGCCCUGUAAGUCAGUGCUGAAAUAUCCCGGCUUAACCGGGAGGGUGGCAUUGAUACUGCGGGGCUAGAGUACAGAUGAGGUAGGCGGAAUUGACGGUGUAGCGGUGAAAUGCUUAGAUAUCGUCAAGAACACCUAUAGCGAAGGCAGCUUACUAGGCUGUAACUGACGCUGAGGCACGAAAGUGUGGGGAUCAAACAGG
rnacentral:rRNA from 1 species